GAUGAACGCUGGCGGCGUGCCUAAUACAUGCAAGUCGAGCGAACAGACGAGGAGCUUGCUCCUCUGACGUUAGCGGCGGACGGGUGAGUAACACGUGUAUAACCUACCUAUAAUACUGGGAUAACUUCGGGAGACCGGAGCUAAUACCGGAUAAUAUAUUGAACCGCAUGGUUGAAUAGUGAAAGACGGUUUUGCUGUCACUUAUAGAUGGAUCCGCGCCGCAUUAGCUAGUUGGUAAGUUAACGGCUUACCAAGGCAACGAUGCGUAGCCGAACUGAGAGGGUGAUCGGCCACACUGGAGCUGGGACAGGGUCCAGACGCCUGCGGGAGGCAGCAGUAGGGAACGUUACGCAAUGGGCGAAAGCCUGACGGAGCAACGCCGCGUGAGUGAUGAAGGUCUUCGGAGCGUAAAACUCUGUUAUGAGGGAAGAACAAAUGUGUAAGUAACUAUGCACGGCGUGACGGUACCUAAUAAGAAAGCAACGGCUAACUACGUG
rnacentral:rRNA from 1 species